CAGAGCGGUUAUUGAACUUAAUAGCAAAUCACGGUGAACUGGCGCUGGUAACCAGCUUUUUGGUAAACAGUACUAACGUUAGAGAUACUAGUGCUACGUAAUUUUUAUCGGCGAAGGAACAACGUUCCAGGUCAUGUUGCACCUUUAAGUCGACGAAACAGUGCGUAGCAAGUGAUUCACAAGAACUUCUCAUAGGUGUAAUUAGUAACAUUGUUCAAUCAUCAUCAGUAGUGAAUUCUACUUAUUUGGCUUCUAGACAGAGUAUUGUAACUAUUUUCCCGCUUUUAGAGGAUUUCUCCGAACAUCUCAGUGAAGCAGAGGAGAACGGCAAGAUGGCUGACAGUACGUAACCAACUGUGACCGCGAAAAAAUUUUACAUUUUAACGUUAACAAUUAAACACCGAAAUUAAUUCAAAUGCGAUGUUUGGUUUUUUUAACUGCUGAACUCUUUAAGUGCAUUAAUAGCAACCUACGAGGACAGCAUUUCAACUAUAAAGUCGUUCUACAUGCCACGUAUACACAGCGAGCACACAGAGGUCAGGGAUGCCACCCCCGCAGCUGUCGAGGUUGGAGCGAAGACACGGGCGCUGGCUCGCUACCUGCUGCUAAUCCGCUGCCGGGAGCAAACGCAAGCUAUUGUGGCUCCAUUAGCCUCCACAAUAGAACUGACGCGUCUGGUCAGCCGAAAGGACACGCCUGUGUGAUGAAUGGGGUCACCACGCAGCACUGGUCAUCGACCCUGAGCCAACUGAGAUGAAAUGUUUGUUGAAUACACAUGAAGGACACUGGAUUUUACAUAAAUUUAGGUAUAAGAUUUUUCUUAUUCUUUAAGAACCAAUAAUGAUCACAUCAACUGUUCAA